rnacentral:rRNA from 1 species
AACGACUCUCGACAACGGAUAUCUCGGCUCUCGCAUCGAUGAAGAACGUAGCGAAAUGCGAUACUUGGUGUGAAUUGCAGAAUCCCGUGAACCAUCGAGUCUUUGAACGCAAGUUGCGCCCAAAGCCAUUAGGCUGAGGGCACGUCUGCCUGGGCGUCACGC